UAGGGAAUCUUCCGCAAUGGGCGAAAGCCUGACGGAGCAACGCCGCGUGAGUGAUGAAGGUCUUCGGAUCGUAAAACUCUGUUAUUAGGGAAGAACAAAUGUGUAAGUAACUAUGCACGUCUUGACGGUACCUAAUCAGAACGCCACGGCUAACUACGUGCCAGCAGCCGCGGUAAUACGUAGGUGGCAAGCGUUAUCCGGAAUUAUUGGGCGUAAAGCGCGCGUAGGCGGUUUUUUAAGUCUGAUGUGAAAGCCCACGGCUCAACCGUGGAGGGUCAUUGGAAACUGGAAAACUUGAGUGCAGAAGAGGAAAGUGGAAUUCCAUGUGUAGCGGUGAAAUGCGCAGAGAUAUGGAGGAACACCAGUGGCGAAGGCGACUUUCUGGUCUGUAACUGACGCUGAUGUGCGAAAGUGUGGGGAUCAAACAGG
rnacentral:rRNA from 1 species